rnacentral:rRNA from 1 species
UGGGGAAUAUUGCACAAUGGGCGCAAGCCUGAUGCAGCCAUGCCGCGUGUAUGAAGAAGGCCUUCGGGUUGUAAAGUACUUUCAGUCGGGAGGAAGGUGUCAAGGUUAAUAACCUUGGCAAUUGACGUUACCGACAGAAGAAGCACCGGCUAACUCCGUGCCAGCAGCCGCGGUAAUACGGAGUGUGCAAGCGUUAAUCGGAAUUACUGGGCGUAAAGCGCACGCAGGCGGUUGAUUGAGUCAGAUGUGAAAUCCCCGGGCUUAACCCGGGAAUUGCAUCUGAUACUGGUCAGCUAGAGUCUUGUAGAGGGGGGUAGAAUUCCAUGUGUAGCGGUGAAAUGCGUAGAGAUGUGGAGGAAUACCGGUGGCGAAGGCGGCCCCCUGGACAAAGACUGACGCUCAGGUGCGAAAGCGUGGGGAGCAAACAGG